UACGUAGGGUGCAAGCGUUGUCCGGAAUUAUUGGGCGUAAAGAGCUCGUAGGCGGUUUGUCGCGUCUGCUGUGAAAUCUGGAGGCUCAACCUCCAGCCUGCAGUGGGUACGGGCAGACUAGAGUGCGGUAGGGGAGAUUGGAACUCCUGGUGUAGCGGUGGAAUGCGCAGAUAUCAGGAGGAACACCCGGUGGCGAAGGCGGGUCUCUGGGCGAGUAACUGA
rnacentral:rRNA from 1 species